rnacentral:tRNA from 1 species
GGGUCGAUGCCCGAGCGGUUAAUGGGGAUGGACUAUAAAUUUGUUGACAAUAUGUCUACGCUGGUUCAAAUCCAGCUCGGCCCA